rnacentral:rRNA from 1 species
AAUUAAGAUAUUUUAGGUGUUUGAUGGAUGCCUAGGUACUAAAGGUUAAAGACGUGUGGCGCUGCGAAAAGUCAUGGGGAGGUGCGCAAUAAUACUGUGAUCCAUGAAUAUCUUACGAGGGAAACCUCCACAUCAAGUGUGAAAAAAACCUAGUAAACUGAAACAUCUCAGUAACUAGAGGAACAGAAAUCAAUAGAGAUUCCGUGAGUAGUGGCGAACGAAAAUGGAGAAGGCCUAACAUUUAUGCAUUGUUAAGAAAUUAACAUUUCUUCUUAAAAGACUGGAAAGUCUUGCCACAGAAGGUGAUAGCCCUGUAAAGAAGAGUCUUAUUAGAUGUUAUUGAGUAGAACGGGACACGAGAAAUCUUGUUUGAAAAUAGGGAGACCACUCUCUAAGCCUAAAUACCUUUAGUAACCGAUAGUGUACUAGUACCGUGAGGGAAAGGUGAAAAGAACCUCGAGAGAGGAGUGAAAUAGAUUCUGAAAUUGAACACUGACAAGCAGUUUUUACGAAUCGUAGUAUUUGUAAAAACGUACCUUUUGCAUAAUGGGUCAGCGAGUUAUUUUAUAGAGCAAGCUUAAUUCGUUAGAAGUAGGCAUAGCGAAAGCGAGUCUGAAUAGGGCGUUAAGUUCUGUAAAAUAGACCCGAAACUGAGUGAUCUAUCCAUGAGCAGGUUGAAGGUGUAGUAACAUACACUGAAGGACCGAACCCACGCAUGUGGAAAAAUGCGGGGAUGACUUGUGGAUAGGGGUGAAAGGCUAAUCAAACUCAGAGAUAGCUGGUUUUCCGCGAAAUCUAUUUAGGUAGAGCGCUAUAUAAAGAUAGCCUGGGGUAAAGCACUCAAUGGGCUAGGGGGAUGUAAAAAUCCUUCAAACCCAAGGAAACUCUGAAUACAGGUUUUUAUUUUUGUAUAGUAGACAGACAAUGUGCGAUAAGGUUCAUUGUCGAGAGGGGAAGAGCCCAGAUCAUAAGCUAAGGUCCCAAAGUGAUUGCUAAGUGGGAAAGGAUGUAAGAAAGGCCAGACAGCCAGGAGGUGGGCUUGGAAGCAGCCAUCCUUUAAAGAAAGCGUAACAGCUCACUGGUCAAUUUGCCUUUUUUGCGCCGAAAAUGUAACGGGGCUAAAGCAAUCCACCGAAGCUAUGGAUAAUUAUAGCAAUAGUUAUUAAUUAUGGUAGCGGAACGUUCUGUAUGUCGUUGAAGAAAAAAUGUGAGUUUUUUUGGAGAUAUCAGAAGCGAGAAUGCUGACAUGAGUAGCGACAAACAAUGUGAAAAUCAUUGUCGCCGUAAGCCUAAGGGUUUCUGCGCAAGGUUCGUCCACGCAGAGUGAAUCGACCCCUAAUGGUAAAUCUGAAAAGAUUCUCCAGAUGGGUAAAAAUGGUAGUGACGCAUUUGAAGCGGUAAUGUGGUAUUUAUUUGGAUUAUACGCAUUACUUGGAAAGUGCCAGGAAAGAGCUCCAUUUCAAAAUCGUACCCGAAACCGACACAGGUAGGCGAGUUGAAUAUACGAAGGCGCGUGAGAGAACUAUCUUGAAGGAACUCGGCAAAUUAGCUCCGUAACUUCGGGAGAAGGAGUCCUUCUGAAAAGAAGGGUCACUAAAGAGGGGGUAGCGACUGUUUACUAAAAACACAGGACUCUGCAAAAUUGCAAAAUGAUGUAUAGGGUCUGACACCUGCCCGGUGCUGGAAGAUUAAGAGGAGAAGUUUAUAGCUUUGAAUUGAAGUCCCAGUAAACGGCAGCCGUAACCAUAACGGUUCUAAGGUAGCGAAAUUCCUUGUCGGGUAAGUUCCGACCUGCACGAAUGGUGUAACGACUUCCCCACUGUCUCCAAGAUAGACUCAGCGAAAUUGAAUUCUCCGUGAAGAUGCGGAGUUCCAACGGCUAGACGGAAAGACCCCGUGCACCUUUACUACAUCUUUGCAUUGCUAACGAAGUCUUAAUGUGCAGAAUAAAUGGGAGCCUAUGAAGCCUUGGCGCAAGCCAAUUGCAGAGGCGCUCUUGAGAUACCAUUCUUUAAGAUUUCUACGGCUAAUCAAUUCAUUUUGGAAAUUGAAACAGUGCAUGGUUGGUAGUUUGACUGGGGCGGUCGCCUCCCAAAAAGUAACGGAGGCGCGCGAAGGUAAGCUCAAGUUGGUCGGAAAUCAACUGUAGAGUGUAAUGGCAUAAGCUUGCCUGACUGUAACACAUACAAGUGGAACAGAGACGAAAGUCGGCCAUAGUGAUCCGGUGGUUCUAUGUGGAAAGACCACCGCUCAACGGAUAAAAGGUACGCCGGGGAUAACAGGCUAAUGACUCCCAAGAGCUCAUAUCGACGGAGUCGUUUGGCACCUCGAUGUCGGCUCAUCACAUCCUGGAGCUGAAGAAGGUUCCAAGGGUUCGGCUGUUCGCCGAUUAAAGUGGUACGUGAGCUGGGUUUAGAACGUCGUGAGACAGUUCGGUCCCUAUCUACCGUUGGUGUUAGAAAACUGAGGAGAUCUGACCCUAGUACGAGAGGAUUGGAUAAGAUCUACCUAUUGUGUACUGAUUGUUGUGCCAACAGCAUCGUCAGGUAGCUACGUAGAGACGGAAUAACCGCUGAAAGCAUCUAAGCGGGAAGUCUACUCCAAAACAAGUUUUCUUUUAAAGGCUCGUAAUAGAUUAUUACGUUGAUAGGCUAGAGGUUGUAGCAUAGUGAUAUGUGGAGCUGACUAGUACUAAUUAGCCGUAUUCUUAGAAAU